UGAACGCUGGCGGCAGGCCUAACACAUGCAAGUCGAGCGGAUGAAGGGAGCUUGCUCCUGGAUUCAGCGGCGGACGGGUGAGUAAUGCCUAGGAAUCUGCCUGGUAGUGGGGGAUAACGUCCGGAAACGGGCGCUAAUACCGCAUACGUCCUGAGGGAGAAAGUGGGGGAUCUUCGGACCUCACGCUAUCAGAUGAGCCUAGGUCGGAUUAGCUAGUUGGUGGGGUAAAGGCCUACCAAGGCGACGAUCCGUAACUGGUCUGAGAGGAUGAUCAGUCACACUGGAACUGAGACACGGUCCAGACUCCUACGGGAGGCAGCAGUGGGGAAUAUUGGACAAUGGGCGAAAGCCUGAUCCAGCCAUGCCGCGUGUGUGAAGAAGGUCUUCGGAUUGUAAAGCACUUUAAGUUGGGAGGAAGGGCAGUAAGUUAAUACCUUGCUGUUUUGACGUUACCAACAGAAUAAGCACCGGCUAACUUCGUGCCAGCAGCCGCGGUAAUACGAAGGGUGCAAGCGUUAAUCGGAAUUACUGGGCGUAAAGCGCGCGUAGGUGGUUCAGCAAGUUGGAUGUGAAAUCCCCGGGCUCAACCUGGGAACUGCAUCCAAAACUACUGAGCUAGAGUACGGUAGAGGGUGGUGGAAUUUCCUGUGUAGCGGUGAAAUGCGUAGAUAUAGGAAGGAACACCAGUGGCGAAGGCGACCACCUGGACUGAUACUGACACUGAGGUGCGAAAGCGUGGGGAGCAAACAGGAUUAGAUACCCUGGUAGUCCACGCCGUAAACGAUGUCGACUAGCCGUUGGGAUCCUUGAGAUCUUAGUGGCGCAGCUAACGCGAUAAGUC
rnacentral:rRNA from 1 species